rnacentral:rRNA from 1 species
UAGGGAAUCUUCGGCAAUGGACGCAAGUCUGACGGAGCAACGCCGCGUGAGUGAAGAAGGAUUUCGGUUCGUAAAACUCUGUUGUUAGAGAAGAACAGCGCAUAGAGUAACUGUUAUGCGUGUGACGGUAUCUAACCAGAAAGCCACGGCUAACUACGUGCCAGCAGCCGCGGUAAUACGUAGGUGGCAAGCGUUGUCCGGAUUUAUUGGGCGUAAAGCGAGCGCAGGCGGUCAAUUAAGUCUGAUGUGAAAGCCCCCGGCUCAACCGGGGAGGGUCAUUGGAAACUGGUUGACUUGAGUGCAGAAGAGGAGAGUGGAAUUCCAUGUGUAGCGGUGAAAUGCGUAGAUAUAUGGAGGAACAACAGUGGCGAAGGCGACUCUCUGGUCUGUAACUGACGCUGAGGCUCGAAAGCGUGGGUAGCAAACAGG